UACGAAGGGGGCUAGCGUUGCUCGGAAUCACUGGGCGUAAAGGGUGCGUAGGCGGGUCUUUAAGUCAGGGGUGAAAUCCUGGAGCUCAACUCCAGAACUGCCUUUGAUACUGAGGAUCUUGAGUACGGGAGAGGUGAGUGGAACUGCGAGUGUAGAGGUGAAAUUCGUAGAUAUUCGCAAGAACACCAGUGGCGAAGGCGGCUCACUGGACCGGCAUUGACGCUGAGGUGCGAAAGCCAGGGAGCAAGCGGGA
rnacentral:rRNA from 1 species